GAGUUGGUAGCUCAGUGGUAGAGUUCAUUCUUUGUAUGUAUGAUGUCCUGGGUUCAAUCCCCAGCUUCG
rnacentral:tRNA from 1 species